GAUGAACGCUGGCGGCGUGCCUAAUACAUGCAAGUCGAGCGAACAGAUAAGGAGCUUGCUCCUUUGACGUUAGCGGCGGACGGGUGAGUAACACGUGGGUAACCUACCUAUAAGACUGGAAUAACUCCGGGAAACCGGGGCUAAUGCCGGAUAACAUUUAGAACCGCAUGGUUCUAAAGUGAAAGAUGGUUUUGCUAUCACUUAUAGAUGGACCCGCGCCGUAUUAGCUAGUUGGUAAGGUAACGGCUUACCAAGGCAACGAUACGUAGCCGACCUGAGAGGGUGAUCGGCCACACUGGAACUGAGACACGGCCAGACUCCUACGGGAGGCAGCAGUAGGGAAUCUUCCGCAAUGGGCGAAAGCCUGACGGAGCAACGCCGCGUGAGUGAUGAAGGUCUUCGGAUCGUAAAACUCUGUUAUUAGGGAAGAACAAAUGUGUAAGUAACUGUGCACGUCUUGACGGUACCUAAUCAGAAAGCCACGGCUAACUACGUG
rnacentral:rRNA from 1 species